rnacentral:rRNA from 1 species
GUGUCAGCAGCCGCGGUAAUACGUAGGGUGCAAGCGUUAAUCGGAAUUACUGGGCGUAAAGCGUGCGCAGGCGGUCUUGUAAGACAGGUGUGAAAUCCCCGGGCUUAACCUGGGAACUGCACUUGUGACUGCAAGGCUGGAGUACGGCAGAGGGGGAUGGAAUUCCGCGUGUAGCAGUGAAAUGCGUAGAUAUGCGGAGGAACACCGAUGGCGAAGGCAAUCCCCUGGGCCUGUACUGACGCUCAUGCACGAAAGCGUGGGGAGCAAACAGGAUUAGAUACCCUAGUAGUCC